rnacentral:rRNA from 1 species
UACAGGGGGUGCAAACGUUGCUCGGAAUCAUUGGGCGUAAAGCGCACGUAGGCGGUUCGUUAUGUCGGAUGUGAAAGCCCUUGGCUUAACCGAGGAAGUGCAUCCGAAACUGGCGAGCUAGAGUACGAAAGAGGAUCGCGGAAUCCCGGUGUAGAGGUGAAAUUCGUAGAUAUUAGGAAGAACACCAGUGGCGAAGGCGGCUUACUGGUCCGGAACUGACGGCUGAGGUGCGAAAGCGUGGGGAGCAAACAGG